UUUUUCCUUUCUGAUUCUUCCAGAAGAGGACUAAAUUGGUUGGUGGAUGAUAGUUGCCCUUUGUAUAGAGGCUGGAUGUAGAAGGUGCUGCAAGCUCUGCAAGCUGAUUAGUUAAUGUGGAAGCUGAAACCUACCUUGGGAAGCUGACCAUUGACCAUUGUCUUGAUUCUACCUGGGUUGCUUCCUUGUUUCUCUGUAGGUUUAUAACAAAGGGUUAAGGCUGAACAGAUCUCUGCAGUUACAAUUAUUCAUACUAGAAGAUCCUGCCAACCUCUUUGUUAUUUGAGCAGCUGGAUGAGAUUCUUGAUUUCCAUAAUCUGUACCUGGAGGUUUAUACAGGGGAGGAUCACUGGGGCAGACUUGAACCAUGGUGCCCACAAGUGGGGAGGGUGCUCCAGCAGCCAUGGAAAGAACUUCCUUCUGCAGUUGGAGACAGCCUUCUGUGUGGGCUGAAGGACAGAGUGUGAUUUUCCACUUGGAAGAGACUCUAGGGCUCUCCAGAGAGGGAAGCCCUGCUGACCCAUUUCAGUAGACUGUGACACUUCAGCGACCUGCAAAUUCUACACAUUAGAGUUCAUAUUUUAUACAAACUCCGUACACCUAAGAUGUGGACUUAACAUUUCUACCAACAACAUCCAACUUCCAACAAAAGAUGCAGGCCCAUCAGAAGAUGAAAGCUACUAAUGAAGAUGCAUUAAAGAUGAUAUUUAUGGCCACCCCUUAGGGAAAAAAAAAGAUUCAUAAAUAAUUUCAUGGAAAUUACACCCAAAA
rnacentral:lncRNA from 1 species